rnacentral:rRNA from 1 species
GACGAACGCUGGCGGCGUGCCUAAUACAUGCAAGUAGAACGCUGAAGAGAGGAGCUUGCUCUUCUUGGAUGAGUUGCGAACGGGUGAGUAACGCGUAGGUAACCUGCCUUGUAGCGGGGGAUAACUAUUGGAAACGAUAGCUAAUACCGCAUAACAAUGGAUGACACAUGUCAUUUAUUUGAAAGGGGCAAUUGCUCCACUACAAGAUGGACCUGCGUUGUAUUAGCUAGUAGGUGAGGUAAUGGCUCACCUAGGCGACGAUACAUAGCCGACCUGGGAGGGUGAUCGGCCACAAUGGGACUGGGACACGGCCCAGACUGCUACGGGAGGCAGCAGUAGGGAAUCUUCGGCAAUGGGGGCAACCCUGACCGAGCAACGCCGCGUGAGUGAAGAAGGUUUUCGGAUCGUAAAGCUCUGUUGUAAGUCAAGAACGGGUGUGAGAGUGGAAAGUUCACACUGUGACGGUAGCUUACCAGAAAGGGACGGCUAACUACGUG